rnacentral:rRNA from 1 species
CACGUAGGGUGCGAGCGUUGUCCGGAAUUAUUGGGCGUAAAGAGCUCGUAGGCGGUGUGUCGCGUCGGCUGUGAAAACCCGGAGCUCAACUCCGGGCCUGCAGUCGAUACGGGCAAACUGGAGUGUUGCAGGGGAGACUGGAAUUCCUGGUGUAGCGGUGAAAUGCGCAGAUAUCAGGAGGAACACCGGUGGCGAAGGCGGGUCUCUGGGCAACAACUGACGCUGAGGAGCGAAAGCGUGGGGAGCGAACCGG